UACGUAGGGUGCAAGCGUUAAUCGGAAUUACUGGGCGUAAAGCGUGCGCAGGCGGUCUUGCAAGACAGAUGUGAAAUCCCCGGGCUUAACCUGGGAACUGCAUUUGUGACUGCAUCGCUGGAGUGCGGCAGAGGGGGAUGGAAUUCCGCGUGUAGCAGUGAAAUGCGUAGAUAUGCGGAGGAACACCGAUGGCGAAGGCAAUCCCCUGGGCCUGCACUGACGCUCAUGCACGAAAGCGUGGGGAGCAAACAGG
rnacentral:rRNA from 1 species